UACGAAGGGUGCAAGCGUUAAUCGGAAUUACUGGGCGUAAAGGGUGCGUAGGCGGUUGUUUAAGUCUGUCGUGAAAUCCCCGGGCUCAACCUGGGAAUGGCGAUGGAAACUGGGCAGCUAGAGUGUGUCAGAGGAUGGUGGAAUUCCCGGUGUAGCGGUGAAAUGCGUAGAUAUCGUAAGGAAGACCAGUGGCGAAGGCGAAUCUCUGGACAGUUACUGACACUGAGGCACGAAGGCCAGGGGAGCAAACGGG
rnacentral:rRNA from 1 species